GUGGGGAAUAUUCCGCAAUGGACGAAAGUCUGACGGAGCAACGCCGCGUGAGUGAUGAAGGUUUUCGGACUGUAAAGCUCUGUUGUUUAGGACGAAAGUGCCUGUUGCAAAUAGUUACAGGUAUUGACGGUACUGAACGAGGAAGCCACGGCUAACUACGUGCCAGCAGCCGCGGUAAUACGUAGGUGGCAAGCGUUGUCCGGACUUAUUGGGCGUAAAGAGCAUGUAGGCGGGAAUCUAAGUCUGUUGUGAAAAUGCGGGGCUCAACCCCGUAUUGCGAUGGAAACUGGGUUUCUUGAGUGCAGGAGAGGAAAGGGGAAUUCCCAGUGUAGCGGUGAAAUGCGUAGAUAUUGGGAGGAACACCAGUGGCGAAGGCGCCUUUCUGGACUGUGUCUGACGCUGAGAUGCGAAAGCCAGGGUAGCGAACGGGAUUAGAAACCCCUGUAGUCC
rnacentral:rRNA from 1 species